rnacentral:rRNA from 1 species
GGAGAGACUAUACUGUGUCUGGCUAGAUCACGCUGGCGGCGUGCCUAACACAUGCAAGUCGAACGAGAAAGUGGAGCAAUCCAUGAGUAAAGUGGCGACCGGGUGAGUAACACGUGACUAACCUGCCUUCGAGUGGGGGAUAACCUCGGGAAACCGGGGCUAAUACCGCAUAAUGCCUUCGGGUUAAAGGAGCAAUUCGCUUGAAGAGGGGGUCGCGGCUGGUUAGCUAGUUGGCGGGGUAACGGCCCACCAAGGCGAUGAUCGGUAGCCGGCCUGAGAGGGCGCACGGCCACACUGGAACUGAAACACGGUCCAGACUCCUACGGGAGGCAGCAGUGGGGAAUUUUGGGCAAUGGGCGAAAGCCUGACCCAGCAACGCCGCGUGAGGGAGGAAAUCCUUCGGGAUGUAAACCUCACAAGCAAGGGAAGAGCGCGUACGGGCUAAUACCUCGUGCGUCCGACGGUACCUUGCGUAAGCCACGGCUAACUACGUGCCAGCAGCCGCGGUAAUACGUAGGUGGCAAGCGUUGUUCGGAAUUAUUGGGCGUAAAGGGCGCGUAGGCGGCUUGUUAAGUCAGCUGUGAAAGCCCGGGGCUCAACCCCGGAGGGUCAGCUGAUACUGGCUAGCUAGAGUACAGAAGAGGUAGCUGGAAUUCCCGGUGUAGCGGUGAAAUGCGUAGAUAUCGGGAGGAACACCAGAGGCGAAGGCGGGCUACUGGGCUGAUACUGACGCUGAUGCGCGAAAGCCAGGGGAGCAAACGGGAUUAGAUACCCCGGUAGUCCUGGCCCUAAACGAUGACACUUGUGUGUCGGGUCUCAGUCCCGCGUGCGAGCUACGCGUAAGUGUCCCGCUGGGGAGUACGGUCGCAGGCUGAACUCAAGGAAUGA